UUAAUGCGCUUUGCGUCAUUUCAUUUUGAACAAUUCUCGAUUUUUUUUUUUUUUUUUGGUUGCUGUUUGCAUUUUCAGCUUAAAUUUAAAAAUAACUAAUCAUCUGCGCCUCUCUUUGCCUGCAUGUGUGUGCACAGCGCGGAAUUGGAUUGAACAGCACAAAAUGGAGGGGGUCGAAGUGAAAUGAAUGCCAAUCGAAAGGCCAAACACACACAUACACACAUGCAUACAUUAGUCAAUUAGUGCUGGGCAACGACGAAAAUAAAUAUCGAAAGUUGUCAUCGAUAAAUAUGUAGUUUUUGUGUUUUUUUUUUGAGCUGUAACAAAGCGAUUGUCGUCGAUUCUGAUUCAGAGACCCAAAAACUCGUUGAGCUCAUUUCUAUUUUCGAAAAUUAAACUAAAAUAAAAAAAAAAAACACAAAAAGAAAACAAGUAGGGGCACUUGAAUUUCUUCGAGUGGGGAGCACUUGAAGAGCAAGCAGGACAGCCAUUAUCUCUCUGAAGAUUUCCCUCAGCAAUCGAAAUGAAUCAAGUACAGCUUUUGUCUCAGUCUAGCACCUGUCGAACACACACACACACACGCACGCGUGUGACGACAACGACCUCGCAUUGAAUGAACAUGAAUGGGGAGCAAAAACAGCUGACUGUUUUUUUUUUAUUUCCACCCCGUUUUGAAUUAUCAAUUGAAUACAAACAAAACACUCAGCUUCAGACCUGAGUUGUUUUUAUUUUGUAGUAAAUUUUAAUUACUGCCAAUUGUCAGAUGUGGCUACAAAAUUCUAAUCUAUGACGGCCACUUAAAUACAAUCUAUUAUAAUGGCAGAUGAAUUGAAUAAAUGAAUAUUGUAUAUUUGAAUACAGAUUGCAAUCACUUCAGACUAAACAAGACUUUUGUUAUGUGUUG